UAAAGGGUGCGUAGGCGGUUUAUUAAGUCAGUGGUGAAAGACGGUCGCUCAACGAUUGCAGUGCCAUUGAUACUGGUAGACUUGAGUGGGAUUGAGGUAGCUGGAAUGGAUAGUGUAGCGGUGAAAUGCAUAGAUAUUAUCCAGAACACCAAUUGCGUAGGCAAGUUACUAAGUCUCAACUGACGCUGAGGCACGAAAGUGUGGGUAUCAAACAGGAUUAGAUACCCUGU
rnacentral:rRNA from 1 species